AUCACUUUACGAUGCCAGUUAAGAAGCAUGGUUUCCUGUGAUCCCCGGACCUGAAUGCCUGCUUUGGCUCUAAUAGAUUCAGAUACCUGAAUUAUAUCAGAUCUACAGAUCACAUGAGUAUGUAGCCAUAGCAACGGACAGGCCAGGGAACUCUCCAGGAUUUUACACCAACCCUACGAGAUGCUGACGUUAACCUCUGAGGGCAUAUGUUAUGGUGCAC